GUAGAGUCUUCUUUCCCCAAAGCUUCCUCCCCUCCCCCACUGCUUUCAGAGUAGAUUAACUAAUUACUUCCAAUUAAAGCCGGUAGAUCUCUGUACCUCCUGGGCUUCAACACUGCCCCUAGGAGUCUCCCUAGGCUGCCUGGGUCUGAAAGGGACCUGGCCACUUAGGGGGAUCAGUGAAUCAGUUAAGUAAUGCAGGGGGCCACAAAGGAAGCCCACUGGGUCAUGUGCUUGACGGGGAGGGCUGCAGACAAGCCUGGCCCUCUGGCUGCAGCAUGGAAGUGUGGCCCUGCUUCAGGCCUUAAUGGGCCCGGGAAGGUCAGGAGCUGCCGUCUUUGGAGGAAUGGUGUUUGUGUUGGCAUCCAUGGGCCCUGUAGCCCUGCCAACUCUCACAGCAUGUGACACUGUCAGGAGACUGGAGGUGUGAGGCAGAAGUCAGCUGGAGAGGCUCCUGCGGCCGGCCGGCCGCCUGCUUCCAGGCGCUGCUUCACUCCUUGGAUGCACUUGCCCUAAAGGUUGACCGAUAGCUGCUGAUGCAAGCGCCAGAGAUCUUGUCCUGAGGUGAUGUGCUCGGAGGCUGCAGAGAACCCGUCUGUCUGUCUAGGUCCGUCUUUAAGAUUAAGGAAACUUUCCCCAGAAGUGUUCCCAGAACCUGCUUCUGGGUCUCAUCGGCCAAAGUUCAGCCACACACUCAUUCCUGUAACUCCUAGUCGGGGUAACGUAGGCUCUUUGCCUAGCAGGUAUCAUGGUGCACACCUGGAAUCCCAGAAUUCAGGAGGCAGAGGAAAGAGGAUUGCUAGCUCAAGGCCAGCCUGGGCUACAGCGAGACGCCUCCUAAAACAAAAACAAGCCAGGUGGUGGAGAGGUAGCUUGGUGGGUAAAUUGCUGGCCUUGCAACUGGUGAAGACUCGUGCAUGAUCCUCAGAAACCACACAAAAAGCCAUUAUCAUCCCAGCACUGGAGAUGGGGACAUGCAAGCCCUCUGGUUUUCUGGCUAGUCAGUCUACCUGAAUCAGCGGCAAGCCCCACAUCCCAAUAAUGUCCCCAAACACAAGGAAGACGGUGUCUGAGGGACAACACCUGAGGCUGACUUGUAUCCUCUACACGCAUGCACGUAUGCUUGCACAUAUACAUGCAUUCACAGGACAUGCACUCACACAUGUACAUGCAGCAUACACGCACACAUGCAUGCACAAGUGUGUGCACACACUCAAACUAACCAAAACCGAUGCUUUUAACUUAUGAAAACCGGUACAUUGUCAUGCAUCUUACAGGUGUCUUCCUCUGAUCUCUGAUUUUAUCUUUUGAUUUUUAUUUAUAAUGUUUUUCCUUGUAAUUUCUUUGUGGGUGCAUGUAUUAAUUACUUCUGUUAUGACUUCUGUUUGUCCUGUGUCUAGGAAACUUGAUACCCGGGGAUCACACAAUCAUUUUCACAAACAUUUUUAGAAACGUGUGUGUGUGUGUGUGUGUGUGUGUCUGAGUGUGUGUGUGUGUGAGUGUGUGUGUGAGUGAGUGAGAGUAUGUGAGUGUGUGUGUGUGUGAGUGUGUGUGUGAGUGAGUGUGUGUGAGUGAGUGAGUGUGUGAGUGAGUGAGAGUAUGUGAGUGUGUGUGUGUGAGUGUGUGUGAGUGAGUGAGUGUGUGUGAGUGUGUGAGUGAGUGAGAGUAUGUGAGUGUGUGUGUGAGUGUGUGUGAGUGAGUGAGUGUGAGUGUGUGUGUGUGAGUGUGUGUAUGAGUGAGUGUGUGUGAGUAUGUGUGUGAGUGAGUGAGAGUAUGUGAGUGUGUGUGUGAGUGAGUGUGUGUGAGUGAGUGAGUGUGUGAGUGAGUGAGAGUAUGUGAGUGUGUGUGUGAGUGUGUGUGAGUGAGUGUGUGUGUGAGUGUGUGUGAGUGAGUGUGUGUGUGAGUGUGUAUGUGUGAGUGAGUGAGAGUGUGUGUGUGUGUGUGUGCGCGCGCACUUGCCUGUCUGUAUGUACACUGUGUGCAUGCUAUACCUUUGCAGGCCCAAAGAGGGUGCUGGGUUAUCUGGAAUUGGGGUUGUGAGUUCUUAGGAGCUUCCAUGUGGGUGCUGGGAACUGAGCCUCAGCACAGAGCAGCUGGUGCUCUUUUUUUUUUUUUUUUUUAAGAUUUAUUUNNNNNNNNNNNNNNNNNNNNNNNNAGCUGUCUUCAGACACACCAGAAGAGGGCAUCAGAUCUCGUUACGGAUGGUUGUGAGCCACCAUGUGGUUGCUGGGAUUUGAACUCCAGACCUUUGGAAGAGCAGUCUGCGCUCCUAACUGCUGAGCCAUCUCACCAGCCCCCAGCUGGUGCUCUUAACUGCUGAGCCAGAUCCCUUGACUUGUGUAUAAGUUGAUAUUUUUGUUUUUUUGGUUUUUUUUUUUUUGUACUUUUAUGGUUUUAUUUUUCCAGUGUUUUCUUCAGUUCUUCGAUCCUGAUGGAAUUUAUUUCCAUGCUAAGAGUGAGCUGAUCCUGUGCGGACUCUGGGCUCCAGCCAUUUUAAUUACUCUUGCUGUGCAGUGUUCUGCAGAAUGUCUGCCAGACCUACCCUUCCGUGCUUAGUGUGCUUUGCUUUCCUCUGGAAUUUUUCUGUCUAUUCUUUUAUAUAUGUCCCCCCACCCCCAAUUAAAAUUGUCAUCAUCCC
ensembl:lincRNA